UACGUAGGGGGCAAGCGUUGUCCGGAUUGACUGGGCGUAAAGCGCACGCAGGCGGUCGCGCGCGUGGGGUGUGAAAUCUGGCCGCUUAACGGCCAGGCGCCAUCCCAUACGGCGCGACUGGAGUGAUGCAGAGGUCGAUGGAAUUGCCGGUGUAGUGGUGAAAUGCGUAGAGAUCGGCAGGAACACCCAGGGGGAAACCAGUCGACUGGGCAUCUACUGACGCUGAGGUGCGAGAGCGUGGGGAGCGAACCGG
rnacentral:rRNA from 1 species